rnacentral:lncRNA from 1 species
AGCUGCCUGUGGACACACGGGCCCUGUGCUGUCUCAGCUGAGAGGUCCCCAUCUACUGACUCACUCGCACCUGGGGCUUCUUGGCUGGUCAUCUGGAAAGGUACAAACUGAAGUUUUCUUUAUCCAAGGCAAUCUUUUAGAAGUCACCCUACGUUUCUUCAAAGUGUCUGGACGCAGUGUGGAGCGUGGUUUAUUUCGUCCAUGUUGCGGCAGCCUGUGUUGGAACUCGCUGAGGUUUGAAGCCUGUCAUCAACAUACAGACUGACAUGAACUUUCAAUGGGAGUCACAGAGGGCUGUACGGGCAAACAGGAGAAAUGACAGGGUACCAAAGACCGCCCUGUCAGCUGAAGGGCACCCUGGAUGCCUGUCUCUGAGCCCUCACACUCCUGUAACCUGUGAAGAGUGGGCAAGCAGAACAGGCACGUAUUAAAGCCGGUGGCUUGAAACCGGACUUGUCUGAGAUGCUGUAAACAAAUUUUUGCCCACUAUGUUUGACAGUUACAAAAUAUUUUGUAGGUGAUGGGUCAUGCAUCUUCCUGACACACUGUGAAGCAGGAAGAAACAGGAACAGUAGCUCUGUGUUACACGUGAGGAGCGAGAAGCACCAACAUGGGUCUUCAUUCUGGAUUUCAUCUUCAAUAUGGAUCCACAGGCUUUAAGAACAUAACGCUUUCUAAAGAGCUCCAGCAAUGGAAACAGCUGUCAGCUCUUCCACCAAAGAUGCUCAAACCAUCACGCUGUCACAUUUAAAUAUAAGAAGCCCCCAAUAUGGAAGAAGACAUCGCUUCUGGUUACCGUCUUGUGUGUGCUAGCUCUCUUUCACUAAUGUCCACUUAAAAAAUAUACAUCAUAACUUGAGCACAGCGGCACAUGCUUUUAAUCCCAGCACCUGGGAGGCAGAGGCAGGCGGGUCCCUGAGAUUUGAGGCCAACCUGGUCUACAGAGUGAGUUCCAGGACAGCAGGGGCUAUAUAGUUAAACCAUCCAUGUUUUGAAGAAACAAGCAAGUGUAUAUUAUUUACUUAUAUUACAUAUUACAUUGUGCAUAUAUAGUAUAUAUGCAUCAUAGUAAUCUGUCCAUCCCAUACAUUGAAUGAAUUGAUAUUUCAAUCUCCCAAAAAUCUGGAGAAGAAUGUGUGUUCCUUGCUGAGCACUUAAGUGUGUUUAUGAACUGAGUAAAUCAUGCCUUGGCAAAUUA